rnacentral:rRNA from 1 species
GUGUUUCGACACACUAUCAUUAACUGAAUCCAUAGGUUAAUGAGGCGAACCGGGGGAACUGAAACAUCUAAGUACCCCGAGGAAAAGAAAUCAACCGAGAUUCCCCCAGUAGCGGCGAGCGAACGGGGAGGAGCCCAGAGCCUGAAUCAGCAUGUGUGUUAGUGGAAGCGUCUGGAAAGGCGCGCGAUACAGGGUGACAGCCCCGUACACAAAAGCGCAUGUGCUGUGAGCUCGAUGAGUAGGGCGGGACACGUGGUAUCCUGUCUGAAUAUGGGGGGACCAUCCUCCAAGGCUAAAUACUCCUGACUGACCGAUAGUGAACCAGUACCGUGAGGGAAAGGCGAAAAGAACCCCGGCGAGGGGAGUGAAAAAGAACCUGAAACCGU